rnacentral:sRNA from 1 species
CUCCAGGAGGCCCUUGGAGAUGGAGUCUCAUUCUGUCAUCCAGACCGGAGUGCAAUGGCACCAUCUCAGCUCACUGCAACCUCCACCUCCCGGGUUCAAGCUAUCCUCCCGCCUCAGCCUCCUGAGUACCCGGGAUAGGCAUGUUUUCACCUCCUGUGAGCAGUGGGAAAAAUGGACCAACUUCUUUGGCAAGUGGACAUU